rnacentral:rRNA from 1 species
GACGAACGCUGGCGGCGUGCUUAACACAUGCAAGUCGCGGGGGGGUGAGCAAUCACUCACCGGCGAACGGGUGCGUAACACGUGAGCGACCUGCCCACUUGUGGGGUAUAGCCGGCCCAACGGCCGGGUAAUCCCGCAUACGCUUCUCUGGCUGCAUGGCCGGGGGAGGAAAGCCGUAAGGCGCAAAUGGAGGGGCUCGCGGCCUAUCAGCUAGUUGGCGGGGUAACGGCCCACCAAGGCGAUGACGGGUAGCUGGUCUGAGAGGAUGGCCAGCCACAUUGGGACUGAGAUACGGCCCAGACUCCUACGGGUGGCAGCAGUGGGGAAUCUUGCGCAAUGGUCGAAAGACUGACGCAGCGACGCCGCGUGCGGGAGGAAGCCCUUCGGGGUGUAAACCGCUGUUACUCGGGACGAACUUCCCGAUUUGUCGGGAUUGACGGUACCGGGGGAGGAAGCACCGGCUAACUCUGUGCCAGCAGCCGCGGUAAUACAGAGGGUGCGAGCGUUGUCCGGAAUCACUGGGCGUAAAGGGCGCGUAGGCGGCUUUUCACGCGUGCGGUGAAAGCUCGGGGCUUAACUCCGAGUCUGCCGUGCGAACGGGGAGGCCUGAGUCUGGUAGAGGUCGAUGGAAUUCCGGGUGUAGCGGUGGAAUGCGUAGAGAUCCGGAAGAACACCGGUGGCGAAGGCGGUCGACUGGGCCAGUACUGACGCUGAGGCGCGACAGCGUGGGGAGCAAA